GAUGAACGCUAGCGGCAGGCUUAACACAUGCAAGUCGAGGGGUAGAGGAAGCUUGCUUCCUUGAGACCGGCGCACGGGUGCGUAACGCGUAUGCAACCUACCUUUUACAGAGGGAUAGCCCAGAGAAAUUUGGAUUAAUGCCUCAUAGUAUAUAGUCUUCGCAUGUUGACUAUAUUAAAGUUCCAACGGUAAAAGAUGGGCAUGCGUCCUAUUAGCUAGAUGGUAAGGUAACGGCUUACCAUGGCAACGAUAGGUAGGGGUCCUGAGAGGGAGAUCCCCCACACUGGUACUGAGACACGGACCAGACUCCUACGGGAGGCAGCAGUGAGGAAUAUUGGACAAUGGGCGCAAGCCUGAUCCAGCCAUGCCGCGUGCAGGGAGAAGCAUCUAUGGUGUGUAAACUGCUUUUGUACGGGAAGAAACACUCCCUCGUGAGGGAGCUUGACGGUACCGUAAGAAUAAGGAUCGGCUAACUCCGUGCCAGCAGCCGCAGUAAAAC
rnacentral:rRNA from 1 species